UACAGAGGGUGCAAGCGUUGUUCGGAAUUACUGGGCGUAAAGGGCGCGUAGGCGGCCUGCUAAGUCGAACGUGAAAUCCCUGGGCUCAACCCAGGAACUGCGUCCGAUACUGGUUGGCUUGAAUCCGGGAGAGGGAUGUGGAAUUCCAGGUGUAGCGGUGAAAUGCGUAGAUAUCUGGAGGAACACCGGUGGCGAAGGCGACAUCCUGGACCGGCAUUGACGCUGAGGCGCGAAAGCCAGGGGAGCAAACAGG
rnacentral:rRNA from 1 species